rnacentral:rRNA from 1 species
CCUACGGGAGGCAGCAGUGAGGAAUAUUGGUCAAUGGGCGGAAGCCUGAACCAGCCAAGUAGCGUGCAGGAUGACGGCCCUACGGGUUGUAAACUGCUUUUAUACGGGAAUAACGCGCCUUACGUGUAGGGCUUUGCAUGUACCGUAUGAAUAAGGACCGGCUAAUGCCGUGCCAGCAGCCGCGGUAAUACGGAAGGUCCGGGCGUUAUCCGGAUUUAUUGGGUUUUAAGGGAGCGUAGGCGGCAUGUCAAGCGUGCUGUGAAAUGUCCGGGCUCAACCCGGGCCUUGCAGCGCGAACUGGCGUACUUGAGUCCGCGGAAAGCAGGCGGAAUUCGUGGUGUAGCGGUGAAAUGCUUAGAUAUGACGAAGAACCCCGAUUGCGAAGGCAGCUUGCUGCAGCGGAACUGACGCUGAUGCUCGAAAGCGCGGGUAUCGAACAGGAUUAGAUACCCCAGUAGUC